UAGAACAAAGCAUUUUAAUGUUGAGAAGUUCUAUUACCCCUUGAAUUCUGUGUAAUCCAACUGCCAUUUUGAUUUUGCAACUGAAAUAUUGUAAAUUUACCAGCUCAUUGAUCCAUGUAAUCUUCUGCUUUAUUGCAUUUUUAUAUUCAUCGUCGUUAAGGUUAUCGCUGGAAAACUUAUAGUCAUAUUCUCAUUGACAAAUACAUGGAUCAUAAUUUACAGGUAUAGGAGGAAGAGAGAGA
rnacentral:misc_RNA from 1 species